rnacentral:rRNA from 1 species
GACGGAGGAUGCAAGCGUUUAUCCGGAAUGAUUGGGCGUAAAGCGUCCGCAGGUGGCAGUUCAAGUCUGCUGUCAAAGACCGGGGCUUAACUUCGGAAAGGCAGUGGAAACUGAACAGCUAGAGUAUGGUAGGGGCAGAGGGAAUUCCUGGUGUAGCGGUGAAAUGCGCAGAUAUCAGGAGGAACACCGGUGGCGAAGGCGGGUCUCUGGGCCGUAACUGACGCUGAGGAGCGAAAGCGUGGGGAGCGAACAGG